AGGAGAAUCGUGGCGGGGUUGAUGACUACUUGAUGGAGGAGAUCAGGAUGAGGAGCCAUGAGAUACUAGAAAAUGAAGAGAUGCAGCAAAUGUUGCGGAUUCUGAGCAUGGGUGGCGCAGGAACCAACCUGACUGAAGACGGCUUCAACUUCCCUUCUUACAUGCCUGCACCUUCCCCGAACUUGAACUUCGAGGAUGACCGCACCCGCACGCCUGGGAAAGCUGUCGUCGGGUGGCUCAAGAUCAAGGCUGCCAUGCGGUGGGGCAUCUUCGUCAGGAAGAAGGCGGCCGAGAG
rnacentral:lncRNA from 1 species